GACGAACGCUGGCGGCGUGCUUAACGCAUGCAAGUCGAACGGAAAGGCCCUGCUUUUGUUGUGUGCUCGAGUUGCGAACGGGUGAGUAACACGUGAGUAACCUGCCCUUUACUUUGGGAUAACUUCAGGAAACUGUGGCUAAUACCGGAUAGUAGCUCCUGCUGCAUGGUGUUUGUUGGAAAGUUUCGGCGGUUGGGGAUGGACUCGCGGCUUAUCAGCUUGUUGGUGGGGUAGUGGCUUACCAAGGCUUUGACGGGUAGCCGGCCUGAGAGGGUGACCGGCCACAUUGGGACAGAGAUACGGGCCAGACUCAUACGGGAGGAAGCAGUGGGGAAUAGUGCAAAAUGGGCGGAAGCAUGAUGCAGCAACGCCGCGUGCGGGAUGACGGCCGUCAGGUUGGAAACCGCUUUCGCCUGUGAAGAAGAGUGAGUGACGGUAAUGGGUAAAGAAGCACCGGCUAACUACGUG
rnacentral:rRNA from 1 species